rnacentral:rRNA from 1 species
AGAACGAACGCUGGCGGCGUGCUUAACACAUGCAAGUCAAGCGGAAAGGCCCUUCGGGGUACUCGAGCGGCGAACGGGUGAGUAACACGUGAGCAACCUGCCCUUAGCUCUGGGAUAGCUCCGGGAAACCGGAAUUAAUACCGGAUAUGACCUAGGCCGACAUCGGCCGUGGUGGAAAGUUUUUCGGCUAGGGAUGGACUCGCGGCCUAUCAGCUAGUUGGUGGGGUAAUGGCCUACCAAGGCGACGACGGGUAGCCGGCCUGAGAGGGCGACCGGCCACACUGGGACUGAGACACGGCCCAGACUCCUACGGGAGGCAGCAGUGGGGAAUCUUGCGCAAUGGGCGAAAGCCUGACGCAGCGACGCCGCGUGGGGGAUGAAGGCCUUCGGGUUGUAAACCCCUUUCAGCAGGGACGAAGCGAAAGUGACGGUACCUGCAGAAGAAGCGCCGGCUAACUACGUGCCAGCAGCCGC